rnacentral:rRNA from 1 species
AUUGAAGAGUUUGAUCAUGGCUCAGAUUGAACGCUGGCGGCAGGCCUAACACAUGCAAGUCGAACGGUAACAGGAAGCAGCUUGCUGCUUUGCUGACGAGUGGCGGACGGGUGAGUAAUGUCUGGGAAACUGCCUGAUGGAGGGGGAUAACUACUGGAAACGGUGGCUAAUACCGCAUAACGUCGCAAGACCAAAGAGGGGGACCUUCGGGCCUCUUGCCAUCAGAUGUGCCCAGAUGGGAUUAGCUUGUUGGUGAGGUAACGGCUCACCAAGGCGACGAUCCCUAGCUGGUCUGAGAGGAUGACCAGCCACACUGGAACUGAGACACGGUCCAGACUCCUACGGGAGGCAGCAGUGGGGAAUAUUGCACAAUGGGCGCAAGCCUGAUGCAGCCAUGCCGCGUGUAUGAAGAAGGCCUUCGGGUUGUAAAGUACUUUCAGCGGGGAGGAAGGUGUUGUGGUUAAUAACCGCAGCAAUUGACGUUACCCGCAGAAGAAGCACCGGCUAACUCCGUGCCAGCAGCCGCGGUAAUACGGAGGGUGCAAGCGUUAAUCGGAAUUACUGGGCGUAAAGCGCACGCAGGCGGUCUGUCAAGUCGGAUGUGAAAUCCCCGGGCUCAACCUGGGAACUGCAUUCGAAACUGGCAGGCUUGAGUCUUGUAGAGGGGGGUAGAAUUCCAGGUGUAGCGGUGAAAUGCGUAGAGAUCUGGAGGAAUACCGGUGGCGAAGGCGGCCCCCUGGACAAAGACUGACGCUCAGGUGCGAAAGCGUGGGGAGCAAACAGGAUUAGAUACCCUGGUAGUCCACGCCGUAAACGAUGUCUACUUGGAGGUUGUGCCCUUGAGGCGUGGCUUCCGGAGCUAACGCGUUAAGUAGACCGCCUGGGGAGUACGGCCGCAAGGUUAAAACUCAAAUGAAUUGACGGGGGCCCGCACAAGCGGUGGAGCAUGUGGUUUAAUUCGAUGCAACGCGAAGAACCUUACCUGGUCUUGACAUCCACGGAAGUUUUCAGAGAUGAGAAUGUGCCUUCGGGAACCGUGAGACAGGUGCUGCAUGGCUGUCGUCAGCUCGUGUUGUGAAAUGUUGGGUUAAGUCCCGCAACGAGCGCAACCCUUAUCCUUUGUUGCCAGCGGUCCGGCCGGGAACUCAAAGGAGACUGCCAGUGAUAAACUGGAGGAAGGUGGGGAUGACGUCAAGUCAUCAUGGCCCUUACGACCAGGGCUACACACGUGCUACAAUGGCGCAUACAAAGAGAAGCGACCUCGCGAGAGCAAGCGGACCUCAUAAAGUGCGUCGUAGUCCGGAUUGGAGUCUGCAACUCGACUCCAUGAAGUCGGAAUCGCUAGUAAUCGUGGAUCAGAAUGCCACGGUGAAUACGUUCCCGGGCCUUGUACACACCGCCCGUCACACCAUGGGAGUGGGUUGCAAAAGAAGUAGGUAGCUUAACCUUCGGGAGGGCGCUUACCACUUUGUGAUUCAUGACUGGGGUGAAGUCGUAACAAGGUAACCGUAGGGGAACCUGCGGUUGGAUCACCUCCUU